rnacentral:rRNA from 1 species
ACGAACGCUGGCGGCGUGGAUAAGACAUGCAAGUCGAACGAGAGAAUUGCUAGCUUGCUAAUAAUUCUCUAGUGGCGCACGGGUGAGUAACACGUGAGUAACCUGCCCCCGAGAGCGGGAUAGCCCUGGGAAACUGGGAUUAAUACCGCAUAGUAUCGAAAGAUUAAAGCAGCAAUGCGCUUGGGGAUGGGCUCGCGGCCUAUUAGUUAGUUGGUGAGGUAACGGCUCACCAAGGCGAUGACGGGUAGCCGGUCUGAGAGGAUGUCCGGCCACACUGGAACUGAGACACGGUCCAGACACCUACGGGUGGCAGCAGUCGAGAAUCAUUCACAAUGGGGGAAACCCUGAUGGUGCGACGCCGCGUGGGGGAAUGAAGGUCUUCGGAUUGUAAACCCCUGUCAUGUGGGAGCAAAUUAAAAAGAUAGUACCACAAGAGGAAGAGACGGCUAACUCUGUGCCAGCAGCCGCGGUAAUACAGAGGUCUCAAGCGUUGUUCGGAAUCACUGGGCGUAAAGCGUGCGUAGGCUGUUUCGUAAGUCGUGUGUGAAAGGCGCGGGCUCAACCCGCGGACGGCACAUGAUACUGCGAGACUAGAGUAAUGGAGGGGGAACCGGAAUUCUCGGUGUAGCAGUGAAAUGCGUAGAUAUCGAGAGGAACACUCGUGGCGAAGGCGGGUUCCUGGACAUUAACUGACGCUGAGGCACGAAGGCCAGGGGAGCGAAAGGGAUUAGAUACCCCUGUAGUCCUGGCAGUAAACGGUGCACGCUUGGUGUGCGGGGAAUCGACCCCCUGCGUGCCGGAGCUAACGCGUUAAGCGUGCCGCCUGGGGAGUACGGUCGCAAGAUUAAAACUCAAAGAAAUUGACGGGGACCCGCACAAGCGGUGGAGUAUGUGGCUUAAUUCGAUGCAACGCGAAGAACCUUACCUGGGCUUGACAUGUAAUGAACAACAUGUGAAAGCAUGCGACUCUUCGGAGGCGUUACACAGGUGCUGCAUGGCCGUAGUCAGCUCGUGUCGUGAGAUGUUUGGUUAAGUCCAGCAACGAGCGCAACCCCGGUGGUCAGUUACCAGCACGUGAAGGUGGGGACGCUGGCGAGACUGCCCAGAUCAACUGGGAGGAAGGUGGGGACGACGUCAGGUCAGUAUGGCCCUUAUGCCCAGGGCUGCACACGUACUACAAUGCCCAGUACAGAGGGGGCCGAAGCCGCGAGGCGGAGGAAAUCCUAAAAACUGGGCCCAGUUCGGACUGUAGGCUGCAACCCGCCUACACGAAGCCGGAAUCGCUAGUAAUGGCGCAUCAGCUACGGCGCCGUGAAUACGUUCCCGGGUCUUGUACACACCGCCCGUCACAUCAUGGAAGCCGGUCGCACCCGAAGUAUCUGAAGCCAACCGCAAGGAGGCAGGGUCCUAAGGUGAGACUGGUAACUGGGAUG